rnacentral:rRNA from 1 species
CUGACGCUCAUGCACGAAAGCGUGGGGAGCAAACAGGAUUAGAUACCCUGGUAGUCCACGCCGUAAACGAUGUGCACUAGAUCGGUGCGGGUCUGACCCCGUGCUGGUCGGAGAGAAAUUAUUAAGUGCACCGCCUGGGGAGUACGGUCGCAAGGCUAAAACUCAAAGGAAUUGACGGGGGCUCACACAAGCGGUGGAGCAUGUUGCUUAAUUCGAAGCAACGCGAAGAACCUUACCUGGGCUUGACAUGCACGGAUUAACUCUUGGAAACAGGAGCCACGCCCGCAAGGGUGGAACGUGCACAGGUGCUGCAUGGCUGUCGUCAGCUCGUGCUGUGAAGUGUCGGGUUAAGUCCCUUAACGAGCGCAACCCCUGUCGCUAGUUGCCAGCGCGUAAUGGCGGGGACUCUAGCGAGACUGCCGGUGUCAAACCGGAGGAAGGUGGGGAUGACGUCAAGUCCUCAUGGCCCUUACGUCCAGGGAUGCAAACGUGCUACAAUGGGGCGCACAAAGCGAUGCGAGGCCGCGAGGCGGAGCAAAUCGCAAAAAACGCCCCCCAGUUCAGAUUGCAGUCUGCAAUUCGACUGCAUGAAGCCGGAAUCGCUAGUAAUCGCGGAUCAGCUACGCCGCGGUGAAUACGUUCCUGAGCCUUGUACACACCGCCCGUCAAGUCAUGGGAGCCGGGAGUGCCCGAAGUCGCCAUAGUUCAAUGGUGCCCACGGCAAGCUCGGUGACUGGGACUAAGUCGUAACAAGGGAACCGUAGGAGAACCUUUU